UCCGAUUAACACCGGCAGUCUCACUAAAGUGCCAAACUUAAUUAGGGCAACUAGUAAUAAGGGUUGCGCUCGUUGCGUCACUUAAGACAACAUCUCACGACACGAGCUGACGACAGCCAUGCAGCACCUGUGUUUAGGUUCCCGAAGGCACAAUCUAAUCUCUCAGAUCUUCCUAACAUGUCAAGAGCAGGUAAGGUUUUUCGCGUUGCAUCGAAUUAAUCCACAUCAUCCACCGCUUGUGCGGGUCCCCGUCAAUUCCUUUGAGUUUUAAUCUUGCGACCGUACUCCCCAGGCGGUCUACUUCUCGCGUUUGCUUCGCUACUAAGAUUGCUCCCAACAGCUAGUAGACAUCGUUUAGGGCGUGGACUAC
rnacentral:misc_RNA from 1 species